UAUGUAUCUACUUUCCGUCUGUUUAUAUGUUCAAAAAUCAAAACCUAUUUGUUUUUGUUUUUUUUUUUAGGUUAAAAAACCAAUCUCUACAAUCAAUUAAGUUACUGAGAUACCCCAAGGGAAACAAAAUAAGUAGACGAGCUAUAGUUAAAACGAUAUUUACAUAGUAACCUCGUAUUAAGAUAUGUACCAAAGUUGAUAAUUAGGGUUACAUAUGCACUUUAUUUUCUUGUUUCUUCUCUUGACCAUAUGGAUAAACAAAGCGGAACAGCUUCUGACGAGACUAGAUAAAAUAGUAAAGGACUCGACCUGCAUUUUUUUGGAAAAGGUCAUUACGUUAAGUAAGUUUUGCGGUGACACGACUUUUGAUAUUCAAGAGUAGAAAAAAGAAU
rnacentral:lncRNA from 1 species